AUACCAUGGUGUGGACAUUCUCUUUAUAGGUCUUUAUAUCUUUCCCAUGCAUCAUAGAGUGAUUCUCCCUCCUUUUGUCUAAAGGUGUUGAGCUCAAGCCUUAGUUU